UACGAGGGCCCCAAGCAUUAUCCGGAUUUAUUGGGCGUAAAGCGUCUGUAGACGGUUUGUCGCAUCUCCUGUUAAAUCCUCUGGCUCAACCAGGGGGCUGCGGGAGAGAUGGGCAAACUAGAGACUGGAAGAGGCAAUCGGAAUUGCUGGUGUAGGGGUUAAAUCCGUUAAUAUCAGCAGGAACACUCAAUGCGAAAGCAAAUUGCUGGAACAGUUCUGACGUUCAGAGACGAAAGCGUGGGGAGCAAAUGGGAUUAGAUACCCGGGUAGU
rnacentral:rRNA from 1 species